GAGCCGUAUUCUCUGGGGACCGCCCCUGGGCUUGUCGUGUGCCCUGCCCCCCCCGGCCUCGUGGUUGCCCGCGGUUACAGCAUUUUUGCUCCGCGUCGCCGGCGCUGCCCCUUGGCAGAGACCAAGCCUGGCAGCCGAAGCCCCGCAGGCGAAGGCGAGGAGGCGCUGAGGGCGGGCGUGACAGUGGAAACGCACGUGCCGCUGGAAACGGGGGCGGUCCUUGCGCUGCACCUUCAGCCCCGCCCUCCUGUAAACAGACUGGCAGCUCCUGGGGGCGAGGACGGCUCAUUUGCUUGUUAAAUGCACCAGAGCAGUGUCAGGUGUAAUCGCCAAUAAUGCCUUGCUGGAGCCAGCCUAGCAAUAACUCCAGAAGCUUGAUUUUCAUCACUGGCCAGGGAGACUAGCUCCUCUGAUUGGGUGCCUUCCCUACGUACCUGUCUCCUGUGGAGGAGCAGCCACUCAUAAUAAUACCCAGCUCUUGCAUAUUCAUCAGAAAGUGCUCAACGUUCUUUACAAAGGAGGCACUACUGCCUUCCAAUCAGAACUGCUGCAGGGGAAGAUAGUACUGGUGCCCCCGCUCUGGGAGAAGAGAAGAGAUGAGAUGAGAUGUGGGUGGGGAGAAGGAGCAGCUCAUAACAUUUUCACAGCAAAGGAAGAGGAAGCAGAAAUAUUCCAGCAGUUCAAGGUAACAAGCCUUGUGGAUGGGGAGAAGCAGUAAAUAUGAUAU